GUUGUUCUGCUGACUUAUUUCUGUAUUUCUGCUUUGAGUGGAGCUUGUCAGUGGAGCCCUAAGUGGAAAUGUUGCUGACUUUAGGAAGCCCUGUGGCUUUUCAGUCCGCAUCUGUAAAGUGCUCGUAUGUCAAUCUGACAAUAAAGUAUUUUGAUCUUGUUUUAUCUCUUUUUUCGAAAGCUCUGCCAGUGAAAGACGUGGAAGAGGAACCUGAACAAGUCAGGACAGCAGAGCCCGACAGGUCCCCCGCCAUCGUCCAGCCUCGACAACAGCCAAGUGCCUUAUUUUCUAGAGGAACCAAGAAAGCAGUCAGAAGUCCCCAGAGGUCAAGUAGAAUAAAAGAAAACAAGCAUCCGUUUGCACUUUAUGGCUGGGGAGAAAAACAGACGGACACAGGAAGCCAGAAAACGCACAACGUCUGUGCGUCUGCCCCCGAGCAUGAGAUUCACGAGUCGGCGUUACGGGCCAAGAACAGGCGACAGGUGGAGAAGAGGAAGCUGUUUGCACAGAGGCAGCGGGCUCACUCCGUGGACAUGGAGAGGAACAGGAGGCUCGUGUCCUCCUCUGCGGAGAGCCCGUGGGUGACAGAGUACAUGAGGUGCUACUCAGCCAGGGCUUGAGGUGGCAGCUGCUCGGACAGCCUCUGUGACAAAGUGUAAAUGACAGAAAGGAGAAACGAAACAAAAACCGUCAAAAGGAACGAUACAGGUUUAAGAAACCGACUGAUGAUGCAAGUGUUUUUUAGGGAAUUUCUGAAAGCUUGUUUUAUUUUCAUGAAUAGUUGUCACCUACCUCAGUCGUAGGGCAGACAGUUGAAGCCAUAGACAUUUGGUUAUUUUGAAGAUAAUUCCCUAAAUCUUUGAUAUUCUUGUAAGUGUUUUGUUUUAAAGCAUCUUAAUCUUUUAAGAGACCGACACCAGAUGCCUUGCAGCGGCUGAGAUGCUUAGCACUCAUCUUUCUUUCCAUAGGUUUAGAUGACGUCCGUUGUCAUCCUGUUAGCUUUUCAGACUCCAUAGCUAGGAAGAUUGCUCCAGUUUGCAACGUACCACGCCUUUUCCCCGUGUGCAGUUUUCUUUGUGAAAGAAUAUUGUCAAAAGGAGUUUCAACACGACUGUUGUUCCCAUGUACGAUGAAACUAGAACUUUGGUCAUUCUGGAAAAAUUAAACGUAACUUAUUUGUAUUUCAGUUCAGCAUCACUUUCAUGCAGAUUGUGAUAUUUAAGAAUUUUCUGGGCUGGGCGAGGGUCCCUUUUUCUCUUUCAAUGAUCAUCUAAGCACUUAGUUCAAAUACAUUCCAAUAAAUAAGUGCCAAUGCA